rnacentral:misc_RNA from 1 species
GUGAAUCAUCAAAUUUUUGAACGCAAAUUGCACUCUCUUCGGAGAGUAUGCCUAUUUGAGUGUCAGCCUAAAAAAAUUCGACAUAGUCUCUGUUUCGCGUUGAUAUUCGUCGGAAAUUGGGUCAUCUUAAACCUUUUGGUUUUAAGCGGCUUAAAAUUUUCUUUACGAUUCCACGAACGUUUCUAAGAUUUACUUCUUAUAUGUUUAAUGUAUCUAUCUUUAUUAGACGUGGCUGUUGCAUCGGUUUUCUUCCAUAAAUAUUUCGCUACCUGACCUCAGACAGGU